AGCCCACUCGCCCAUGAUCUUUGAUCAUGUCUUCAGCCACUUGCCCAUGAUCUCGGCCAUGCUUUCAGCCACUUGCCCACGUUCUUGGUCAUGCCUUCAACCACUUGCCCACGUUCUCGGCCAUGUCUUCAGCCACUCGCCCAUGACCUCGGCCAUGCCUUGCCACUCGUCCAUGAUCUCGAUCAUGCCUUGCCACUCGCCCAUGAUCUCGAACAUGUCCAUGAUUCUCGGAU
rnacentral:lncRNA from 1 species